GCCCGCGUGGGGUAGCAUGGAUAUCCUCGAGGCCUGCGGAGCCUUGAACCCGGGUUCAAAUCCCGGCGCGGGCA
rnacentral:tRNA from 1 species